CCUUCCCCUAGAGGCGUUGCAGGUGUGGCUUCUGUGUCACAUGUGUAUCAGUAGGUGGCAGAAAGGAGAGAUGUUGUAUCUAUGCUCAGAAUAAUGUAUGACUUAUGAACAUCUGAAAAAAAGCAAG